rnacentral:lncRNA from 1 species
CUAGCUUCUCAUUAUCCAAAGCACUUCUCACCUUUCAUAAAUUACUGCUCAACAAAAUUCCAUCCAGCUAGUUUCGGUUAAGUUUUAUGGCAAAAAUAAGGGCAGAAUCAACGCCCCCAUAGCUUGACUCCAGCCAUUUUCCCUUUCUUCUCUUUUCUCGUCAGAAUUAAUUUUUCUAAGUAGUUUUUUAAAUUUAUUUGAAGCAAUGAAUAAAACUAGCGAAAUGCUGGCUCCAAAGCCCGGUGGCACAAUCCCCACGCCGCCACCAUUCUUUUCUAAACCGGUUGCUUUACAAUUUGUCAAGCUUCAAGGCCACUUCCAUCUUCGUCUUAUGUUCUCUCGAUUAGCAUUUGAAGCCAUAAUUUCGUCCAUUAUUACUGUUGACAGCAUGAUGGUAGAGUUUCAUGAUUCAGUAAGGAAGCAUCACUAUCCUUCGUUCACAAGCGAGAAUGAUUUUUUCUUCUUCUUUCCUUUUUAUUUUCGCGUGGAUGUUAAGAAAGAGUACUUGGUGGGUUAGAAGGCUUUAAUUAGUUGAAUAGCCCAAAACUCGAUUAAAUGUAUGACUUUCUCCAUGCUCAAUAAAUUGCACGAAGAUAUAAAAUAUACACUUAAUUAAAUCAUGUUUAUUUUAUUUCACAUACUCAUCAUUUUUAAUAUGACAUUAUACGCAUACAAUUAACAGAGUUUAAUAUGACAAUACACACUUCA